GCGGAAGUGGCGGAAUUGGUAGACGCACCAGAUUUAGGUUCUGGCGCCGCAAGGUGUGUGAGAGUUCAAGUCUCUCCUUCCGCACCA
rnacentral:tRNA from 1 species